CGGGGCGGGCCGACCGCGUCUGCCGAUGGGUAUGCACUGGUCGGCGCGUCCUUCCUUCCGGAGACCGUGCCUACUCUUAACUGAGCGGGGGCGGGAGACGGAUCGUUUACUUUGAAAAAAUCAGAGUGUUUCAAGCAGGCAGCUCACUCUUGCAUGGAUUAGCAUGGGAUAAUGAAAUAGGACUUUGGUGCUAUUUUGUUGGUUUCGAUCACCGAAGUAAUGAUUAACAGGGACAGUCAGGGGCACUCGUAUUCCGCCGAGAGAGGUGAAAUUCUCAGACCAGCGGAAGACGAACUACUGCGAAAGCAUUUGCCAGGGAUGUUUUCACUGAUCAAGAACGAAAGUUAGGGGAUCGAAGACGAUCAGAUACCGUCGUAGUCUUAACCAUAAACCAUGCCGACUAGGGAUUUUUCGAUGUUCACUUAUUGACUCGGGAAGCACCUUACGGGAAACUAAAGUCUUUGGGUUCCGGGGGGAGUAUGGUCGCAAGGCUGAAACUUAAAGGAAUUGACGGAAGGGCACCACCAGGUGUGGAGCCUGCGGCUUAAUUUGACUCAACACGGGGAAACUUACCAGGUCCAGACAUUGUGAGGAUUGACAGAUCGAGAGCUCCUUCUUGAUUCGAUGGGUGGUGGUGCAUGGCCGUUCUUAGUUGGUGGAGUGAUUUGUCUGGUUAAUUCCGUUAACGAACGAGACCUUAGCCUGCUAAAUAGCGACGCGAACACUUCGUUCGUGGGCCGCUUCUUAGAGGGACAACUUGUCUUCAACAAGUGGAAGUUUGAGGCAAUAACAGGUCUGUG
rnacentral:rRNA from 1 species